rnacentral:tRNA from 1 species
CACGCCGUAGGCUAACGGUUAGGCCAGCGCCCCUUCAAGGCGCGGAUGCCAGUUCAACUCUGGUCGGCGUGACCA